GACGAACGCUGGCGGCGUGCUUAACACAUGCAAGUCGAACGGAAAGGCCCUGCUUUUGUGGGGUGCUCGAGUGGCGAACGGGUGCGUAACACGUGAGUAACCUGCCCUUGACUUUGGGAUAACUUCAGGAAACUGGGGCUAAUACCGUAUAGGAUCUCCUGCUGCAUGGUGGGGGUUGGAAAGUUUCGGCGGUUGGGGAUGGACUCGCGGCUUAUCAGCUUGUUGGUGGGGUAGUGGCUUACCAAGGCUGUGACGGGUAGCCGGCAUGAGAGGGUGACCGGGCACAUUGGGACUGAGAUACGGCCCAGACUCCUACGGGAGGCAGCAGUGGGGAAUAUUGCACAAUGGGCGGAAGCCUGAGGCAGAAACGCCGCGUGCGGGAUGACGGCCUUCGGGUUGUAAACCGCUUUAGCCUGUGACGAAGCGGGAGUGACGGUAAUGGGUAAAGAAGCACCGGCUAACUACGUG
rnacentral:rRNA from 1 species